GUGGCAUCUGAAAGAUGAACAAGGUGGUGGAGGACGAGCUAGCUGAGUGCUGCAGACACUCUAAGAGCACUGAGCUAGCUCUCCCUCCAUGCCCUGCUCAAUCGUGAAGUUCCGACGU
rnacentral:precursor_RNA from 7 species